rnacentral:rRNA from 1 species
CCAUGCCGCGUGAGUGAUGAAGGCCUUCGGGUUGUAAAGCUCUUUCAGCUGGGACGAAACGGUCCGCGCUAACAUCGCGUGCUAAUGACGGUUCCAGCACAAGAAGCACCGGCUAACUACGUGCCAGCAGCCGCGGUAAUACGUAAGGGGCGAGCGUUAAUCGGAAUUACUGGGCGUAAAGCGUGCGCAGGCGGAUUGUUAAGCCCGAUGUGAAAUCCCCGGGCUUAACCUGGGAAUUGCAUUUUGAACUGGCAGACUUGAGUGCGUCAGAGGGGGGUGGAAUUCCCCGUGUAGCAGUGAAAUGCGUAAAGAUGUGGAGGAACACCGAUGGCGAAGGCAGCCCCCUGGGACGACACUGACGCUCAGGUACGAAUGCCGGGGGUAGCAAAACAGGAUUAGAUAC